rnacentral:misc_RNA from 1 species
AACGUUUAUUCAGAAAUGGCAACCGUCGGCAUGGGACGGAGGUUGCAACGGCUCAAAUGGACUACAGUUUGUGAAAGUUGGAAAAGUUCCUCGAAAAAGUUUGGUUUUCAGUGUUCACUUUCCAUGCCUCUAGCAAUUAAAGUGAUUUAGAAACAACAUGAAAAACUCAAAAUUUUUUGUUUCGUUAAACAGAUUAACGUCACGUGAUGUUGGCCAAUGGCGACUUGCAAGUUUUGUCUGCGCAUCAAGGCGACGAGAAUCAUUUGUAUCAUUGUCGAGUUCUCGUCCAGCCCAUCAGGCAAACAAUGACCAGUUUCACUGCUGGACGAAUCAUCCUCAGUCAAGAAACCAGGACAAAGAUGGCACAAGUCAUUGUAGAAACUGUGAAUCGAAUUCGAAGUUUGGCGUGGACGAGAUUCCGUUUUACCUUGUGUUUUUCAUGGAUAUCUUCCGCAUAAAAUCAAAUGGUACAAAAGUCUAACGAUUCAGUAUGGCAAUUUGUUGUUGCCACUGGUGACAUCAGCUGCCACGCAAGAGCAUCGUGAUGGAGUGCUGGGACUUGGGCGUCAUCGCCUCAUUGGUGGCACUUUACUCAUCGCUUCCGUCGUCACCGAAGAUCAGGGCCGUUACAUUUGAUUCGUCAACAGUUCCAUUGGAUUAGUCGAAUCACGUACCGAACUCAUUUUUCGUGUCAAAUUACAAGUCAGAAUCGUUGAACGUCGUCGUCGCCGCAUAGAAUGCACAGCACAUUUAAGUCACCGAUCCAGAAACGUCCGUCACCAUCACGUGUCAUUUCUCCGGCCGGUUGUCAGUUGGCUCAAAGAUGGCCAGCGCUUCUUGGUGGGUAAUAGUGGUCGUGUUUCUUCUUCAUCCGGCGACGACGGCUACACCGAUAUGGUCCAGUUAUCCAUUUCGUCCGUCCAACGUGAAGAUGAGGGAAUAUACCAAUGCCUGGCAUCCAAUGACGAAGGAGAUUGGGCCCAAGCAUCGGCCCAGCUGGCCAUUGGAGCAUUUCCUCCUCAUUUGAAAGAAACGUUCAGUCGGCAAGUUGUACAUCCGGGAAGUUCAGUCUCGUUGAAAUGUUUGGCCUCUGGCACUCCGCUGCCUCAUUUCACUUGGACGCUGGACGGGUUUCCGUUAUCGCCCGUUUCCGAACGAUAUUUCCUCGGCCAGCAGCAACAAACGGGUCACGACGAUCUUGUAGUGGCUCAUCUCAACAUAACCCACGUCCGAGUCGAAGACGGAGGCAAUUACAAAGCGUUUGUGGCGUUUGUGCGAACAGUGUGUAGCGGAGAAUCGAGUGGGUCGCGUAGAGCAUUCAGCCAAUUUGCAUAUUUACUUCAAUUCAAUGGCAGUUUGACGAUCGAUCCGUUGGAUAAGAGCAGCGACGCCGGUCUUUAUAGUUGCGAGGUGCGUGGCCAGAACGGACUCUCGGCUCGCCAGUCACUUCAACUCAACAUCCUCGCUUUGCGAAAAUAUUGACUCGGCGCCUUUUUCUUUUCCCCCUCCGCCCUGUAAACUUGCUCGGUCGCUGUGUAUACUCUUUGAUGAUGAGAAAGUCAACAGCGCUUUUCUAUCCGGUCUGGAAGCAGAAAAAAAUUUUAAAAAAGGAAGCAAUGAAAGCAAAUGAGACAGACCGACUAUAUCGAUCCAGCAGCCAGAAGCCAAUUUAAGUCUUUCCCCUUUUAUUUUUGUGAAAAACAAGAAAAAGGAGAUGAGUUAAGUGGGUAGGAAGGAUAAAUUUAGAAAUUUCUCGACGUUUUUUUUGUUGUUGCUUCCGGUCGCCGGAAUUUUGUUAAAAAAAAAACAAAAAACACGAAAAAAAAAAACGAUAUUGGAUACAGAUGCGCCUCAUAUAAUGGCAAUGAGCGAUUCGGCCAUGUUGAAUGCCGGCGAGCGAUUGGCUCUUCAAUGCGCCGUAGUUAAAGGUGGAUUGCCGUUGUUCGUCAGCUGGUCGAAAGAUGGCCAAGUGAUUGCACCGACAACUGCAACGACGACGACUAGCGUCCGUUUGGUGAACGAAUUCACAGCCACGUUGACGAUUGAAUCGUUGACUGGACAACAUGGUGGAUGGCUUUAGAGCAGCAUUAGCCUUUGCUAUAUCUCCACAUCAUGUAAAUGGAAAAUCUCUGGAACUUCUUGUUGAGU